ACCUAAGGAGAGAACAGAAAAACAAGGGGGGAGAUGGUGAGUUUGUGAAACAAGAGUAAGAAACCCAUCGAACAAACAAACAAACAAACAAUGUCUCAGGUGAUUAGUUUAUCCAAAAAGAAACAAAACUUACAAAUCUUAAACCCCUUCCAGAGGAGACCUUUUUAAUCUUAUGUUCUUUUGAAUCCUCCGCCCACAAGGACCAUGAUUCAUUGCUAGAGAAUCCCAUGCCUCCUCUUCAGCGGCAUAGACAUCGUCCCCCACUGUCACAGAGGCAGAGCUGCGGAAAGUAGCCCCCAGAAUUGUAUGCCAUCAUCUCCCAAUCGCGCUUCGCCUUCUCUAACAGGGCAAGUGAAGCAUUUAACCCUACUGGCCUUAUUCAUACAAAGAAAAAAAAAACAAACAAACUACAACCAAACCCAACAAAAGUCAUCCCUGAAUUACUAAGAUGAAGAAAAGGCAAUUUAUGCCAUUCGGACAAGUCAAGACAAGGGAAAAGAAAUUCUUCAAACCUACUUUCAUUUCACAAUCAAGGCAGUUUCCUAAGGCGCCUCCUGUUUGCAUCUUUACACGUGCACCGAGCUGUACAAUUUACAAGGCUCUCUCACACUUAUUUAUUGUUUCAUUUGGCCCUCGUGUUGUGAGGUAGGCGGAACGGGGACAAUAAUCUCCAUUUAACAGAUGAACACACUCCAGAAUAAUUUGCUCAACGUCACAUAACUAAUAAAGACUUGAACCCAGA